rnacentral:rRNA from 1 species
CCCCUAGAUGUUCUGGGCCGCACGCGCGCUACACUGAACAGUUCAACAAGUCUUAACCUUGGCCGAUAGGUCUGGGCAAUCUUUGAACGCUGGUCGUGAUGGGGAUAGACUUUUGCAAUUUUUGGUCUUCAACGAGGAAUUCCUAGUAAACGCAAGUCAUCAACUUGCAUUGAUUACGUCCCUGCCCUUUGUACACACCGCCCGUCGCACCUACCGAUUGAAUGGUCCGGUGAAGCCUCCGGAUUGGCGCGCACCUCGGUGCCGCCGAGAAGUUGGCUAAACCUUACCAUUUAGAGGAAGGUGAAGUCGUAACA